rnacentral:rRNA from 1 species
GACGAACGCUGGCGGCGUGCCUAAUACAUGCAAGUCGACCUUAGUGGCGAACGGGUGAGUAACACGUGGGUAAACUGCCCAUCAGAAGGGGAUAACACUUGGAAACAGGUGCUAAUACCGUAUACUGAUGGAUGGACCCGCGGGGCAUUAGCGAGUUGGUGAGGUAACGGCUCACCAAGGCCACGAUGAAUAGCCGACCGGAGAGGGUGAGCGGCCAACUUGGGACUGAGCAACGGCCCACACUCCUACGGGAGGCAGCAGUAGGGAAUCUUCGGCAAUGGACGAAAGUCUGACCGAGCAACGCCGCGUGAGUGAAGAAGGUUUUCGGAUCGUAAAACUCUGUUGUUAGAGAAGCGGUAUCUAACCAGAAAGCCACGGCUAACUACGUGCCAGCAGCCGCGGUAAUUC